UUUUACGUGACGUGCCCGCGCCGAACCGAACCUGCAGCCUUUAGUUUUCUCGACGUCUCUCUACCAUCUGUACUCGAGCAAUGCAGAUAUAUCUAUAACACUCAGAUAGAAAUUUUGCGUUAGCACCACGGCAACAGCGCGGCAUCAAAUUGCAUUUUGAAACACAAAUAUUGCAUCUUUUGCCGACAACACGCCUACACGACGUGCAAAAUUCGUAACAGCAAGGGAACGGCAACAGAACAGCACGUCGUGCUGCUGUAUCGGCCGAACGAGCGUGAGUAACGCAACAGCAACAGAACGGCAACAUAACAGCACGUCGUGCUCUUCGCGGCACAAGGUGCCACGCUGCUUUUGCGUAUUGCGUACAAUAUCGCGAGCUGCUUUAUCGACAGCACACGGUACUCCGAAACCACCUGAAGAGAGCAGAAUUGAUGCAAAUAAGUGGGUUCGUUGAUUCGAAAGCAGAUCCUGCUGCCGCGUGGUUGUAGUCGCUAGUGUCUCUAUUCAAAUUCGUAUCGGAGGUUUCCGUUAACCUUCGCGUAGAAGUCGCAUAUCCGCGACUUUUGCUAUAUCUCCUAAUUAUUCCUUGUUACAAAAAUAAAAUAUAUAUAUAAAUAAUAAUCAUAAUAAUAACAAUAAUAAAGACCUUUAAUCCUAACACAUAAUAAAUUCCGAAACAUUAAAACAAAUAAAUACAAACAAUUAUCAUACGCAUAGUCGAAAUAAAUCGUAAUAUAGUGUCCAAGCCGGCCCGCAGCCCAGCGUGGAUCUUCAUCAUCGUGUUUCUUGGAACGUCUUACGCCUUAGCUCCUGCCCUUAAAGCGUACUCAGCGAUCCUCUCCCAGGGAAAGAAAUAAUAAAAACAAAAAGUAAGAUCUUUCCUUUUCUUUACUUUAGAUUAUCAUCCAUUUACAAUUUAAGUCUAUACAAUCUUUGAGAUAUCUUCGAUUAUAUCGCCUUAUAGUGUCUAUGCUUGCUACUCUCUCUCUGGCUUGAUCUUCUUACGAGGCCUGUAAAACAGCCUUUUUAGUCCGCCUAAGCCAAUUCCUUAAUAGUAGUAAAAGAAGUACUCAGCACUCUGAGAUUAAUAUCUUAGUUAAUACUUAAGCCUUUUAUACAAUAAAGUUAAUACUUUAUAAUAUUA